rnacentral:rRNA from 1 species
AGAGUUUGAUCAUGGCUCAGGACGAACGCUGGCGGCGUGCCUAACACAUGCAAGUCGAACGGGACCGCAAGGUUCAGUGGCGGACGGGUGCGUAACACGUGAGGAACAUAUCCAUCGAUGGGGGAUAGCCGGCCCAACGGCCGGGUAAUACCGCGUACGACCUUCGAGUGGCAUCGCUUGAAGGUGAAAGCAGCAAUGCGUCGAUGGGGUGCCUCGCGGCCUAUCAGCUAGUUGGUGAGGUAAUGGCUCACCAAGGCUACGACGGGUAGCUGGUCCGAGAGGAUGACCAGCCACAUUGGGACUGAGACACGGCCCAGACUCCUACGGGAGGCAGCAGUGGGGAAUAUUGCGCAAUGGGCGAAAGCCUGACGCAGCGACGCCGCGUGUGGGAUGAAGGUCUUCGGAUUGUAAACCACUGUCGCGAGGGACGAAGCUCUGACGGUACCUCGAAAGGAAGCACCGGCUAACUCUGUGCCAGCAGCCGCGGUAAUACAGAGGGUGCAAGCGUUGUCCGGAAUCACUGGGCGUAAAGGGCGCGUAGGCGGCUUGGUAAGUAGGGGGUGAAAUCUCACGGCUCAACUGUGAGGCUGCCUUCUAGACUGCCGAGCUUGAGCACAGUAGAGGCUGGUGGAAUUCCCGGUGUAGCGGUGGAAUGCGUAGAGAUCGGGAAGAACAUCUGUGGCGAAGGCGGCCAGCUGGGCUGUUGCUGACGCUGAUGCGCGACAGCGUGGGGAGCAAACAGGAUUAGAUACCCUAGUAGUCC